rnacentral:rRNA from 1 species
AGGGAAUCUUCCGCAAUGGACGAAAGUCUGACGGAGUAACGCCGCGUGAGUGAUGAAGGUUUUCGGAUCGUAAAACUCUGUUGUUAGGGAAGAACAAGUACCGUUCGAAUAGGGCGGUACCUUGACGGUACCUAACCAGAAAGCCACGGCUAACUACGUGCCAGCAGCCGCGGUAAUACGUAGGUGGCAAGCGUUGUCCGGAAUUAUUGGGCGUAAAGCGCGCGCAGGCGGUUUCUUAAGUCUGAUGUGAAAGCCCCCGGCUCAACCGGGGAGGGUCAUUGGAAACUGGAAGACUUGAGUGCAGAAGAGGAGAGUGGAAUUCCACGUGUAGCGGUGAAAUGCGUAGAGAUGUGGAGGAACACCAGUGGCGAAGGCGACUCUCUGGUCUGUAACUGACGCUGAGGCGCGAAAGCGUGGGGAGCAAAC